rnacentral:rRNA from 1 species
GACGAACGCUGGCGGCGUGCCUAAUACAUGCAAGUAGAACGCUGAAGAGAGGAGCUUGCUCUUCUUGGAUGAGUUGCGAACGGGUGAGUAACGCGUAGGUAACCUGCCUUGUAGCGGGGGAUAACUAUUGGAAACGAUAGCUAAUACCGCAUAACAAUGGAUGACACAUGUCAUUUAUUUGAAAGGGGCAAUUGCUCCACUACAAGAUGGACCUGCGUUGUAUUAGCUAGUAGGUGAGGUAACGGCUCACCUAGGCGACGAUACAUAGCCGACCUGAGAGGGUGAUCGGCCACACUGGGACUGAGACACGGCCCAGACUCCUACGGGAGGCAGCAGUAGGGAAUCUUCGGCAAUGGGGGCGACCCUGACCGAGCAACGCCGCGUGAGUGAAGAAGGUUUUCGGAUCGUAAAGCUCUGUUGUAAGUCAAGAACGAGUGUGAGAGUGGAAAGUUCACACUGUGACGGUAGCUUACCAGAAAGGGACGGCUAACUACGUGCCAGCAGCCGCGGUAAUACGUAGGUCCCGAGCGUUGUCCGGAUUUAUUGGGCGUAAAGCGAGCGCAGGGCGGUUUGAUAAGUCUGAAGUUAAAGGCUGUGGCUCAACCAUAGUUCGCUUUGGAAACUGUCAAACUUGAGUGCAGAAGGGGAGAGUGGAAUUCCAUGUGUAGCGGUGAAAUGCGUAGAUAUAUGGAGGAACACCGGUGGCGAAAGCGGCUCUCUGGUCUGUAACUGACGCUGAGGCUCGAAAGCGUGGGGAGCGAACAGGAUUAGAUACCCUGGUAGUCCACGCCGUAAACGAUGAGUGCUAGGUGUUGGAUCCUUUCCGGGAUUCAGUGCCGCAGCUAACGCAUUAAGCACUCCGCCUGGGGAGUACGACCGCAAGGUUGAAACUCAAAGGAAUUGACGGGGGCCCGCACAAGCGGUGGAGCAUGUGGUUUAAUUCGAAGCAACGCGAAGAACCUUACCAGGUCUUGACAUCCCGAUGCUAUUUCUAGAGAUAGAAAGUUACUUCGGUACAUCGGUGACAGGUGGUGCAUGGUUGUCGUCAGCUCGUGUCGUGAGAUGUUGGGUUAAGUCCCGCAACGAGCGCAACCCCUAUUGUUAGUUGCCAUCAUUCAGUUGGGCACUCUAGCGAGACUGCCGGUAAUAAACCGGAGGAAGGUGGGGAUGACGUCAAAUCAUCAUGCCCCUUAUGACCUGGGCUACACACGUGCUACAAUGGUUGGUACAACGAGUUGCGAGUCGGUGACGGCAAGCUAAUCUCUUAAAGCCAAUCUCAGUUCGGAUUGUAGGCUGCAACUCGCCUACAUGAAGUCGGAAUCGCUAGUAAUCGCGGAUCAGCACGCCGCGGUGAAUACGUUCCCGGGCCU